GUGGGGAAUAUUGGACAAUGGGCGAAAGCCUGAUCCAGCCAUGCCGCGUGUGUGAAGAAGGUCUUCGGAUUGUAAAGCACUUUAAGUUUGGAGGAAGGGCAGUAAGUUAAUACCUUGCUGUUUUGACGUUACCGACAGAAUAAGCACCGGCUAACUUCGUGCCAGCAGCCGCGGUAAUACGAAGGGUGCAAGCGUUAAUCGGAAUUACUGGGCGUAAAGCGCGCGUAGGUGGUUUUGUAAGUUGGAGGUGAAAUCCCCGGGCUCAACCUGGGAACUGCCUCCAAAACUGCAUGACUAGAGUACGGUAGAGGGUAGUGGAAUUUCCUGUGUAGCGGUGAAAUGCGUAGAUAUAGGAAGGAACACCAGUGGCGAAGGCGACUACCUGGACUGAUACUGACACUGAGGUGCGACAGCGUGGGGAGCAAACAGGCUUAGAAACCCGGGUAGUCC
rnacentral:rRNA from 1 species